AGCAGCCGCGGUAAUUCCAGCUCUAAUAGCGUAUAUUAAAGUUGUUGCGGUUAAAAAGCUCGUGGUUGAAUUUCGGGAUCAAUAUGUCGGUCGUGCCUCCGGUACGUACUGGCAUCAUUGAUUUCUCCCUUCUGACGAACCAUGAUGUCAUUAAUUUGGUGUCAUGGGGAGUCAGGACUGUUACUUUGAAAAAAUUGAGUGUUUAGAGCAGGCUCACGCUUGAAUACAUUAGCAUGGAAUAAUGAAAUAGGACGUUUGACCCUAUUUUGUUGGUUUCUAGGAUCGACGUAAUGAUUAAUAGGGAUAGUUGGGGCAUUAGUAUUCAAUUGUCAGAGGUGAAAUUCUUGGAUUUAUUGAAGACUAACUACUGCGAAAGCAUUUGACCAAGGUAUGUUUCAUUAAUCAAGAACGAAAGUUAGGGAUCGAAGACGAU
rnacentral:rRNA from 1 species